rnacentral:rRNA from 1 species
UGGGCGUCGAGCGGCGGACGGGUGAGUAAUGCCUAGGAAAUUGCCUUGAUGUGGGGGAUAACCAUUGGAAACGAUGGCUAAUACCGCAUAAUGCCUACGGGCCAAAGAGGGGGAYCUUCGGACCUCUCGCGUCAAGAUAUGCCUAGGUGGGAUUAGCUAGUUGGUGAGGUAAUGGCUCACCAAGGCGACGAUCCCUAGCUGGUCUGAGAGGAUGAUCAGCCACACUGGAACUGAGACACGGUCCAGACUCCUACGGGAGGCAGCAGUGGGGAAUAUUGCACAAUGGGCGAAAGCCUGAUGCAGCCAUGCCGCGUGUAUGAAGAAGGCCUUCGGGUUGUAAAGUACUUUCAGUUGUGAGGAAGGGUGUGUAGUUAAUAGCUGCRCAUCUUGACGUUAGCAACAGAAGAAGCACCGGCUAACUCCGUGCCAGCAGCCGCGGUAAUACGGAGGGUGCGAGCGUUAAUCGGAAUUACUGGGCGUAAAGCGCAUGCAGGUGGUUCAUUAAGUCAGAUGUGAAAGCCCGGGGCUCAACCUCGGAACUGCAUUUGAAACUGGUGAACUAGAGUGCUGUAGAGG